rnacentral:rRNA from 1 species
UACGAAGGGGGCUAGCGUUGCUCGGAAUCACUGGGCGUAAAGCGCACGUAGGCGGCUUUUUAAGUCGAGGGGUGAAAUCCUGGAGCUCAACUCCAGAACUGCCUUUGAUACUGAGAAGCUUGAGUCCGGGAGAGGUGAGUGGAACUGCGAGUGUAGAGGUGAAAUUCGUAGAUAUUCGCAAGAACACCAGUGGCGAAGGCGGCUCACUGGCCCGGUACUGACGCUGAGGUGCGAAAGCGUGGGGAGCAACAGG